rnacentral:misc_RNA from 1 species
AAAAUAAAAUAAAAUAAAAUAAAUGAAGUAAAAAGGAACUAAAAAUUAAGGUCAAUGUGCAGUGUUCCUUAUUUGCCAUGAUUGGAGUUGGCAAAUAUUCUACCUCACCUAUCCUCCAUUAUAAAUCCAGAAUGCUGCAAGUCUCGUGCCCUUGGACGUAGUUAUCUUCCUGAUAGAAAACAUCAUUGAACUUCAAGCAUUAGAUGCAAAUCCUAGUAGGAACUACCAUCCGACUCACCCUCUCUUUAGAGAAUGGCUUCAAGAGCCCAUACGCUACAACCCCUGCUCCAGAUCUCUUCUUAUUGUGGUUUCUAUUCCUCUCAUAAAUGAUUCCUUCAAGAUAUUUCAAUUUUGUGUUGAAUUUUUCAAAUGCAGCCUCUAUGCCAGGAUCUUCAGUCCAGGAUGGCUCCAGUUUAGCUCCUAGAUAUUCCUCGUCUGGUGAAUGAACAUCCAAAACAGCUGUGUUGCUUGAACUUGUUAAGGGAAGCAUCUUAACAAUGUAACUUCUGGUUUAGUAACAAAUAGAUGGAAAUCCUCCUAUGAUAUUGGAAAUUGGAUCCUCAAUUGGCAUGUUGGCUCGAGCUAGCGUGGGUUGGUUAGGGAAGUAACCACCAUAUAUAUACUGACCAAAGCUGCAUGGUGACCUGUGCUUACCCAAAUUGUGGCAGUAAAAGUUUGGAUCAUAUCAUCUUGAUUUUGAGGACAGGCCACCAGGGCUCAUCUUACUUGUCUGCAUGGCCUUUUGUUCGAACGUCUGUCCACCAAGCUUGAAGAUCUUGAUCUCUCUCCACCUUCUUUGCCUCUCAUUAGUAAUGGUUCAUGUUGUCACUUAUCUAUUAUUUGAUGGCAUCCCAGAGGAUUAGAGCACAUCAUUAGCAAAUGGAUAAUCUUCGGUUACUAGCUUCAGGCCAUGUUGUGCUGUUGGAUUUUCAACUGCCACCCCCCUGAAUUAAUUAAAGCAAAAUUGUACUCGGAGAAAGUUUGGGAAAAUGUGAAAUAGUCAUAUAAUUUCUUCUGCCUCUGGUAAUACUAUAUAAUUCUAUCAGCAGCUAGAGUAAGUGCUUUGCCUUUGAAUGAGAUCACCUGGAAAACUUUCCAUGUCAAAUCGACAAAGCUGGUCACAGGCUACAGAACUAAGUUCCAUGGAGCAAUUUCCAGAAGAGAAAAUACUCUCCAUGAUUCCACCUGCAUUGAUGAGUCUUCUCGAGCAAGAGCAUUGAUUUCCAUUGUGUAUCGGAAGUUGGACUGUUGGAUGCGUUGACCUUAGUUGCCUAUUAGCUGCAAUCAUGUAAGGAAAAACAACGAUCAGGAACCAUACAAUGUGGCUGCGGCCAACUAAUGUGCGUCAAAUCCGUGUGCAAGAGACCGAGUUCUUUCUCUGAAAGGCAAGCUCCACAUACCAAUGCACAACAUUUCAGAUUUCAGACACAGAAAGUUCGUCUUCCGCAUUUUCCUUAUUCAAUUCUUGGGUGUCUUUCAAUCUUUGAGAUGGAGGUGGUUGCUUUUUCCUCUUCCCCCCAUCUUGAUUUUUCCUCUUUUUGUGUUUGAAUAUUGGAUGAACACCACAUUUAACUAUCAUUUCCCUGCUUGUUAUCAUUUCAGCUCCAUUAUCGUCAUAAUGUACUGCGAAGAAUUGAAAUAAGGCCUUUUUGAAACAGUCAUCGGGAUCCAGAAAGAUUGAACUACCCCAAAGGAACACGUUUUCUGAUUGGAAUUUCAUUUGACAAUCCCAAUGUUUGUAUAACCAAUACAAUUUCUCAUGACGGCUACAUCCAGAUUCGCCUAUGAAAAGGACCAUACAUCCAAUAUUCGUAUAAACUCGAGAAGGAUGAAUUUUGGGAUCAAGGACACCGCAGAAAGAGAGCCCCAACAAAUCAUGCUGGCCCAGUGAGAAAGACAAAGAAGAUCCACUAUUAUUCCGAUACCUCAUCCUCUGCGGCACUUCACUUCCGGCUAUAAGUAACGUAGCACCAUAGCAAUUGACCUGUACCUGAAGAUUUGCUGCCAAGACAUUGUCCAUAAUUUUUCUGCGUGCACCCUCAUCUAAAUUGAUGCAAUUACUGAAAUCACAUACACGCCAACGAUGAUUCAUUGGGAGUAGGAACAAAAUUGAUGCUGAUUCCAGAGACGUGCAGUUUGAUACAUAUAAAUUAGUCAAAGGUGGCAAUAAAAACUCUGGUAAAUAUUUAAGUCUCUU